GAGGAGGUCCCUAAUUCUCCUCUGACUCAGCCUCAGCCUCUUCACUUUGGGGCAGUCUUUCCCCAGAUGAACACAACCUGGGGCAGCCCGGGGAUGUCUGAGCCACCAGCUCUGCCUUCUCCUUUCUGUGCCCUGGGGAAACCGAGACUUAGGGUUAAUAGAGACGUAGCAGAGAGGUAAACACACCGGCUGAUAAAAUGGAAAAAUAUUCAUCUAAGAAAAGGAUACGCAUAUUUAAGAGAUGCCCUUUGACAUGGUUGUGUGUGUGCAGCAGUGAUGCAGACAAAGUGGAAAAGAACGCCUACCGCUCAGAGAACUUCUACCUGUCACCGUGGAGGAUGUCCGCCCGGUCAAAGCAAAAACAAAAACAGAUCUCUACCCCUUCUCAGGACCGAUGCAAAAUUGACUUUCUCAGUGGAUAUGAUGACGUAUCUCACCCCUGCUCUUCGGCUGCGCACAUACAGGAUGACCAGUUUUCUACUUUCUCAGAAAAUGGAGGAUAUUGUGAAGUGUUGAUAUCAAAGCCACCACCGCACAUCACUGCUCUUGGAACUGAGUCCUGUGAGGAAGAGAUUUCCUGAGACAGACAGAGCAUGAACAGGGGAGGGUCAGAGAGAGAAGGAGUCACAGAAUCUGAAACAGGCUCCAGGCUCCGAGCUGUCAGCACAGAGCCUGACACGGGGCUCGAACUCACGGACCGCGAGAUCGUGACCUGAGCCGAAGUCGGCCGCUUAACCGACUGAGCCACCCAGGCACCCCGGUAACUUAAUUCUUAACAAUAGCUGUGUUUAGCAACCUGCCCACACAAUUCCUGAAAAAUUUAACAGUCGGAUCCCACCUACUGGGAUGAAUUGGCUCCCGCUCACCAGGGGUUCCUCCCACCACCGAAAUCCCAACCUCUGCCACCCAUUGGAAUCCAGCGUGCAGGAGCAUCACACAGAAGGCAGUGUAUGUAACCUCUGUGCUUUGCAUGGGGCCAACACAAUCCAUGACUGCUUCUGUAGCCUCAGACAUAGCGCCAAGACUGAGCAGGGCAGGUCAAGUUUCUCGCACGUGGCUUGCCCAAGAACGCUUUUGAGAAAAGAGCCACAGAUUCUUUAAGUCCACUUCUGCAAAUAUGUGUUCUUUUUUAUCCAUAGCCUGUGUAUCAAUUUCUCUGUUAAUCCCUUUCAUGUUGAAGUGAAUAGACAUAGCAAGGAAUAGAUAAGGAGUUUGGGGAUCAAGGAUUACGUGUAUAGAUCAAGAAAUGAAGGGAAUCUAAGAACACAUCAGUGAAACUAGACAUUUCAUGAUACCAUGGAAGCAAUUAUGCAAUAAUUACUUUACCCACAGAAAACAAUGCUUUUGUUUCCUCUUUCAUCACAUCUCCCCCUCCCCCCUUUUUUUUUUAACUUAAGCAGGCUUCAUGACGAGCACAGAGCCCAACACAGAGCUCGAAUUCACAGCCAUGAGAUCAUGACCUGAGAUCAAGAGUCAGACGCUCAACUGACUGAGCCACUCAGGCGUCCUUCAUCAUACCUCUUUUUAGGAACUAGGAUUCUUGCCUUGUGAUACCCCAGGUCUUGAUUCAUUCCAAAUUUCCAACUCCCCAAGACAGAGGCUGGAUUGUGUUGGUUGUCGUCAUGUGUUAGGGACAGAUUCUCACAACCAGGUGCCUCAUGAACCACUAGCUCACCCCAUAGAUCACGAUUUUCAGCUUUGUCUAAAUAGUGGAAUCAUGGAAGCUUUAAAAGUAAUGGUGCUUUGGUCUCACCACCAACCUCCUGACUUAAUUGGUACGGGCUGUGACCUGUGUUUUGUGAUAGGUAUGUGUGUGAGUUGCAGGGGAGGGGGGCGGUGAGUGGUUUAGCUUCCCAGGUGCAGUCAAGUUUGGGCACCACUGCUAUGGGGGCAUGUGUUUCACCCAUGAGUCAAUUGCUAAUUCAGUGUUUUUAUUCCAAAAGUUAUAUGACACAAAUGAGAGCCAAUUAAUUAAUGCUAAAUGACCCAAAAUGUUUAUUUGACUAAAUUCUAUUUCAUGUAUAAGCAUUACAGUCUCCCCUCUGUUUAUCAGACUUUGGCAGUUAAAAAAAUGAACCAACCUUAUCCAGAACAGUGAAAAUACCAAGUGUGCUAAAAUCUACAGUUUUACUGUAGGACACACACACACACACACACACACAGACACAUGUGCACACACACACACACACACACACAUAAACAUGUGUGUGUGUGUACGUG